UCACGAUUCUUAAGAGCCAACUCCACUGUAUACAUUUUGAUGUGGCAAUCAUCAGAUAUUGACUUUGUGUAUUAAUGGUGGAUUAUAUAACGAGGCUUUUACAUGUCACUAGCUCUACUGCUGAUUUUACGGGGACCUCUUGAGAUAGCAAAGGAUCGGGUUUGGCCACUAGAUAUGAGGAUCCCACCAUAUAUGUUUUCUUUUCUCCACAUUUCUACAUGACUUCCAGCUCCGCACCUCCAGGGCCUAUAAAAAGUGUUAACUCUCUUGCCCAAUCCUCAUCAACCAAUCAGAAAAUUAAUGAAUAUCUUUUCUUUCAAGCCAUUGGUUGCUCACUCUCCCUCAAGGGCUUCUGCAUGUAUGCUCUAGCUAGCUCAUGCAUCCACAAAUGCCAACAAAAUAACAUCAGUCAGCUGGGGUUAGUAGGCUAGAAGCUCUUGCAGGGGGGCUGAACAAGCCGUGGCUUGCUGGCGAUCAAGAAUAAUGAAGUAGUAGUAGUCCCAUGUACGAGACAUUUUGAUUGCUCACUCUCCCUCAAGGGCUUCCAGCGACAUGCAUGACAAGGCUGGAGGUCAUCGGGGAGAGUGGACAAUAUUACUGUCUGGAAUUCUCGUCAACGACAACAACAAUGGCAUAUCCAUUAUUCACUCUCCCUCAAGGGCUUCUGUUGGUUUUCUGGUCGACCGAAUGACCAAGUACCUACACGGAAGACCUUAGGGAGAGUGGAAAAUACUUGCCAUUUGAUUUCAUGGAAUUAUUGCUCUACUCCGAGAAUUUCAAACUAAAUAUACUCUGCAAAUUGUUGCUUAUUGCUUUGUAGAUCCACCUGGAAUAAUUUUUACGUCAAUGGAGAAAUGAAAGUCAACUAGUGAAUUCAGCUGGUUCUGUCGCCAGUUGCCUGCAACUUGAUGCCAUUGGACACUUACCAACCAUUACUAAAGCUAUACAAAUGCAAGUGGAGGGGUACUAGAGAUACUCGAUACAAGGGAAAUUUUUAAAGCAUUAAUUAGUCGGUAUGAGAACCAAACAUCCCUACUUCGAUCAGACGUACAGAGAUGUCCCCGUUUUGCAAGGAUCGAGGCUUGGCUUGAGGGUUGGAGGGGAUGCCAAUUUGCCAAUAUGUUGAAACGAAAGCACUCCACUUUGAAAGUGUCAUAAUAUGUAGCUUGGUAAAAAUAAGCAGCUGAUAAGGCCCAAAAGUAUGUAAAUGGGCCGGUGGUAAUUAACUUAUGAACUCUGCAGGAUGCUCCUUUCUACAUGCAUACUGUAUCCUCAUGAGGUAGCAAAAGAUAAUUCAAAUAUAUAAAAUAAAUGAAAAAUAA